rnacentral:lncRNA from 8 species
ACAAAUGUCUGGCUACGCUGCUGGUUUUGGGUGAGAUGGUUUUGGACUAGACUGAGCAUCAAACUGGAAGGACUGGCGUUGUUUUAAGGGCUAGGUAACCAGUGUGUGUAAGCUGAUUAUCAGUAGCCAGGCUAAUUUGAGCGUUAAGCCUGAUGGGCCAUAUGCUGAUUGACCCAGCACCCUGAGUCUCCUCCCCCUCAGCCAGACACUCACCUGUUCCUCCCCCAGUUACCAUCACAGCUGAUCUGUUUCAGAUUAAUCUAUUAUCUCUCUCUCUCCCUCUCUCUCUCUCGCUCUCUGAGGGGGGAGGGGUGUUGUUGAGUUCUGAGUUGGCAUGACGAUCCGACUCCCUGCCGUCCAGAGCCUUCUGUCCGUUUCCACGGUGACCUGAUCCCAUUCUGUUCUCCAAGUUCCGGACCUGUGGAACACCGACUGGAACACCGACUGGAUUACCGUUGUUCCGCAGACGGAGUGUGUUCAGAGAGAGGGGAGUUCUGGGAAAGCAGUGAGGAUGCCAGUGCAGCAGAUCUCCGUGGUCCCCGCUCGGGAGAUGGCCAAUAACGGCCGGAGCGCCCCUCGCUCCAAAGACAAGACCGAGAGUACUAAAGGAGGUCCAGGUCGGUCAGGUAGUCGAUCCAGCAACAUCUUGAAGGCCAGCAGUUCUACGACGGGAUUGGCUCCUGGCAGUGUUUCCAGGACAACUCCCUCCUCUCAGGACAUCUGCAGGUGAGACUGUGCCUUCACUUGGCUUGAACGUUUACAAAGUAAAAAUUUUUUUUUUUUAAACAUGAAUUUUUUUUAUUAAAGAGCACAUAAAG